AGGUUCUCUGAAGGUCAGAUUCAUUCACCUGUAGUUUCUAGAAGCUUCUUGAUUGUAAUCACUGUGGUUGACACUACUUUGAAGGCAUUGAUGAACAGCCAAAACAGCACCUUGCAAGGAUGAUAGCGAAAGUAGACAGACAAAUUCCAGGCAGACAAAGGUGAUUCCCCAGUAGGGCUCGACCUUCAACCUGUGGACUCAACUGCCAGUUCUGGAUAGAGUCUACAACCGGAGAACUAUCGCCGUCUCACCCACUUUCUCUCAGUUGGUUCCUUCUGGAUGAUGUUUUUUAACCAUCAAACGGGGCUUUUUUCAAGACCACCCAUGGACCAAUCAGCACAUAAUCCCCCAUUCUAAGCCCAAGCAAACCCCAGACUCA